GACGAACGCUGGCGGCGUGCUUAACACAUGCAAGUCGAACGGAAAGGCCCUGCUUUUGUGGGGUGCUCGAGUGGCGAACGGGUGAGUAACACGUGAGUAACCUGCCCUUGACUUUGGGAUAACUUCAGGAAACUGGGGCUAAUACCGGAUAGGAGCUCCUGCUGCAUGGUGGGGGUUGGAAAGUUUCGGCGGUUGGGGAUGGACUCGCGGCUUAUCAGCUUGUUGGUGGGGUAGUGGCUUACCAAGGCUUUGACGGGUAGCCGGCCUGAGAGGGUGACCGGCCACAUUGGGACUGAGAUACGGCCCAGACUCCUACGGGAGGCAGCAGUGGGGAAUAUUGCACAGUGGGCGGAAGCCUGAUGCAGCAACGCCGCGGGCGGGAUGACGGCCUUCGGGUUGUAAACCGCUUUCGCCUGUGACGAAGCGUGAGUGACGGUAAUGGGUAAAGAAGCACCGGCUAACUACGUG
rnacentral:rRNA from 1 species